GACGAACGCUGGCGGCGUGCUUAACACAUGCAAGUCGAACGGAAAGGCCCUGCUUGCAGGGUGCUCGAGUGGCGAACGGGUGAGUAACACGUGGGUGAUCUGCCCCUUAUUUUGGGAUAAGCCUGGGAAACUGGGUCUAAUACUGGAUAGGACCAUGCUGUAGGUGGUGUGGUGGAAAGAUUAGUUUCGGUAAGGGAUGAGCUCGCGGCCUAUCAGCUUGUUGGUGGGGUAAUGGCCUACCAAGGCGUCGACGGGUAGCCGGCCUGAGAGGGUGGACGGCCACAUUGGGACUGAGAUACGGCCCAGCCUCCUACGGGAGGCAGCAGAGGGGAAUAUUGCACAAUGGGCGCAAGCCUGAUGCAGCGACGCCGCGUGGGGGAUGACGGCCUUCGGGUUGUAAACUCCUUUCAGCCAUGACGAAGCCCUUGUGGUGACGGUAGUGGUAGAAGAAGCACCGGCUAACUACGUG
rnacentral:rRNA from 1 species